CACGUAGGGCGCAAGCGUUGUCCGGAAUUAUUGGGCGUAAAGAGCUCGUAGGCGGUCUGUUGCGUCCGCUGUGAAAACUCGGGGCUUAACCCCGAGCCUGCAGUGGAUACGGGCAGACUAGAGGUAGGUAGGGGAGAAUGGAAUUCCCGGUGUAGCGGUGAAAUGCGUAGAUAUCGGGAAGAACACCAGUGGCGAAAGCGCUCUACUGGGCCAUAACUGACACUGAGGGACGAAAGCUAGGGGAGCGAAAGGG
rnacentral:rRNA from 1 species